rnacentral:rRNA from 1 species
AGUGAACGCUGGCGGCAGGCCUAACACAUGCAAGUCGAACGGCAGCACCGUAAGAGUUUGCUCUUACGGGUUGCCAAUCGCGGACGGGUCAGGUAUAUAUCGGGCUCUACUUUUUCGUGUGGGUUCACGUAUGGCAACUUACGCCAUUACCGCAUCCGACCUAUGGUUUAAAGCAGGGGAUCUUCUGACCUUGCGCGGUUGUAUGCGCCGUUGUCGUAUUAGUUCGUUGGCUGGGUAAAGUCCCACCAAGGCGACGAUCCGUAGCUGAUCUGAGAGAAUGAUCAGCCACACUGGAACUGAGACACGGUCCAGACUACUACGGGAGGCAGCAGUGGGGUAUGUGAGGCAAUGGGCGCAAGCCUGAUCCAGCGAUACCACGUGUGAGAAGAAGGCCUUCGGGUUGUAAAGCCCUUUUGUUGGGAGAGAAAAGCAGCAGGUUGAUACGCCGCUUUACUGACGGUACUGAGAGAAUAAGCACAGGCUAACUUCGUG